AUACGGAGGAUCCGAGCGUUAUCCGGAUUUAUUGGGUUUAAAGGGAGCGUAGGUGGACAGUUAAGUCAGUUGUGAAAGUUUGCGGCUCAACCGUAAAAUUGCAGUUGAUACUGGCUGUCUUGAGUACAGUAGAGGUGGGCGGAAUUCGUGGUGUAGCGGUGAAAUGCUUAGAUAUCACGAAGAACUCCGAUUGCGAAGGCAGCUCACUGGACUGCAACUGACACUGAUGCUCGAAAGUAUGGGUAUCAAACAGGAUUAGAUACCCUGGUAGUCCACACAGUAAACGAUUAAUACUCGCUGUUUGCGAUAUACAGUAAGCGGCCAAGCGAAAGCAUUAAGUAUUCCACCUGGGGAGUACGCCGGCAACGGUGAAACUCAAAAGAAUUGACGGGG
rnacentral:rRNA from 1 species